GACGAACGCUGGCGGCGUGCUUAACACAUGCAAGUCGAACGGUAAGGCUCCAGCUUGCUGGCGUACACGAGUGGCGAACGGGUGAGUAACACGUGGGUGACCUGCCCUGCACUUCGGGAUACUCCUUGGAAACUGGGUCUAAUACCGCAUAGGACCAUGUUCUGCAUACUGUGGUGGAGAGUUUUUUCGGUGUGGGAUGGGCCCGCGGCCUAUCAGCUUGUUGGUGGGGUAAUGGCUUACCAAGGCGGCGACGGGUAGCCGGCCCGAGAGGGUGGCCGGCCACAUUGGGAGUGAGACACGGCCCAGAAGCCUACGGGAGGCAGCAGUGGGGAAUAUUGCACAAUGGGCGGAAGCCGGAUGAAGCGACGCCGCGGGGGGGAUGAAGGCCUUCGGGUUGUAAACACCUUUCACCAUCGACGAAGGGUUUAUGACGGUAGAUGGAGAAGAAGCACCGGCUAACUACGUG
rnacentral:rRNA from 1 species